rnacentral:rRNA from 1 species
UACGUAUGGAGCAAGCGUUAUCCGGAUUUACUGGGUGUAAAGGGUGCGUAGGUGGCAGUGCAAGUCAGAUGUGAAAGGCCGGGGCUCAACCCCGGAGCUGCAUUUGAAACUGCUCGGCUAGAGUACAGGAGAGGCAGGCGGAAUUCCUAGUGUAGCGGUGAAAUGCGUAGAUAUUAGGAGGAACACCAGUGGCGAAGGCGGACUGCUGGACUGUUACUGACACUGAGGCACGAAAGCGUGGGGAGCAAACAGG